rnacentral:rRNA from 1 species
GAAGGCAGCAGUAGAGAUCUUGUGCAAUAAACGAAAGUAUGACACAGAGAGGACACAUUUAAUUGAGCCCGUCAAAUUAAGUGCCAGCCGACGCGGUUAAACUUAAGGGCUGGUCUUUAUAAGUAAAAAGGCGUAAAGGAUGUGUAGGCCAAGAAACAAUCAAAGUAGGUAAAUGGAAUUUUUCUGGAGCGGUAGAAUGUGAGGAUAGAAAAUAGAACCCCUAAGGUAAAAACUAUUUACCACAAGGUAGGCUGAAACAUGAGAGUGUGGGGAGCAAACAGGAUUAGAGACCCUGGUAGUCCACACUGUAAACUUUGAAGAUGAUGCUUAGCAGACCCGAAAGGUAAAAUCUUCCGCCUGAGUAGUACGAUCGCAAGAUUAAAAUUCAAAAACUUUGGCUGUUCACUAUUUCGAUUAGAGGAGCGUGUAGUUUAAUUCGAUGGUCCGCGUGUUACCUUACCCCAACUUGAAUCUGUGACCGGUAUUGCAUGGCCGUCGUAAGUUCGUGUAUUAAGCUAGAAGGGACCCAACCCGGGCAUUUGCCCGGAGGAAGUCAGGUCUUAUGAUCCGAAUGUUGGGGGAUUUUAUGCGCUACAUUUUCUUAUAUAAUGGGAAACCUGAAAGGUGAGCCUCUAAAGUAAGAGUUCGGAAGGUCGCUGUAAGACGACUGGAAGUUGGAUUUAAUAGUAAUCGGAAAGUAGGGCGUUCCGGUGAAUUGGUACAAGUGUUAGCACAAAUUGCCCGUCACCUUUACCUAGAAUGGUUAUUCGGACGUCUUCGGUGAUUACGAAUGCCUACGAGGUAAAGCAAGUCGUAACAUAGUA